AACGAAGGCCCAGGUAGGUGAAGAAAUUUGGCUGAAGUCACACAGGUAAUAAGCAGAAGCUAAUUCAGUUACAAGUCUAACACAGAGAUUAACAACUGUGCUGAAAAGCGAAGUGAUGACGUCUUACUCCUUGGGGUAAAAAUACAUCAUUGGAGAGAACUAAUCAGGAAGCUUGAGAAGCAAGGGCAGAACCGGGAAAAAUGUGGCAGAAAUUGUAACAACUCCCGCACCCCUUGAGCGAGAUAGGAUUUGCAAAGCCCUGAGGGGUGCAAAGAAAAGCUUGCAAAAGCUUGCAGGUUCGGAAGUGGGGACGUUGUAUAGAUUGGUUCUGCUAUCAGGUCCAACUUAGAAGAUAGUGAACAGGCUGACCCCUCCAGCUGCGCCCAAUGCUUCCCAGUGCAAGCCUAACUUGGCCCGAGGAAGAAGGGGGUGGGGAGGAGGGCACAUGUAUUUCCAUGUGAAUCUCCCGGGCAAGGGGCGGAGAGAACAGAGGUGGCCCUCUGCGCAUGCGCCAGCUGCGGGGUUGGGGGGGAAAGUAGGUCAGACUCCUACUCUCACGUGACCCCUCUCCCCUCAGCUACCCCCGUCUCCUCCCUCUGGAAGGCCCCCGCAGCCUGGAUGCGCUCUGCAGCCAACGUGACCAGGGAAGGGAGGAGGCGGGGCCAGCUCGGGGAGCGCGCCUCUGCUGCUGGAGUGGAUUCUCUGGUUCUUGGCCCACUGGAGCAGGGCGGGAAGAGGCUCGGGCGGGCGAAAGGGAGCGCGAGGGAGCCUAGCUCCGCAGACACCAGCAUGGUUCAACCAUUGAAGCACAUUCUGGAAUUACAGGACAACACUCACAAAAGGCUUAAUUCUCUACAUCCUUGGGGAUGGUUUAUCUAACAAAACUGAAUUUGUUUGCUGAACUAGAAGUUAAGCAGCAUCUGUCUUCCAGUCUUUUCAGACCUGGCCUUCCAUUGUCAUUCAUGGGAUUGAUUUUUCCUCUUACAAUGAACUGGAGAUAGCAAGGGCAGCCAGGAAAAUGAGACAAGGUAACAGACAAGCAGGGAAACCAAUCUUUAAUGAGCUUUUCUCUUCCCUUCCCCCUUUAAAAAUUGCAUUUUCCUUAAACAGCAACAGUCAACGGUUUACAAAUAUACUUAGCCCUAAAUCCACUGGAAUGCUGAGACCAGGAGGGACCUGCUUGAAAUCAGUGAAUUUAAAAGAUAAUAUAUUUGUAGUGUUUGCCACUAGAUGUUAAGAGAAGUUAAUGCGCACCAACUUUUCCUCCCUUUUCCCAUUUUACAUUAACAGGAACAUGGUGAAAGACACAUACAGAUGCAUAUAUAUGCAUACACCAGGUGAGACCACAGUAGGAAUUAGACUGUAUUUGGGCAAGGCUAGUCACCUAUUUGCAAACAGACACACUGUUUCACCAACACUUAAUUCCUGGUUAACGGGUCAGAAAACAUGUAUUUUCUAAGAAAAUUGUGAAAACUCCUGACAAAUGAAAAUAAUCCCUCAAUGUGACAUUAGAUUUCACAUUUGUUAUAAAUUGAUACUUUUAUUGUGAGAUUCAAGUGACAUAAUAUAUGGGUUACAUCUUAUUUGCGCUCUUAAUAUUACAGUAAGUUAUUGUUAUCUCUCCAAAGCAGCAAGGUACCCCGAGGGAAUGCCAAACCACCCCCAGGACCACUCUCUAUCCUCAGACUCUGAUGGAGACAGCCCAGGAUCCUGAGACCAAGAGCCUUGGGAAUAGCAGUGCCCCCCAAUCCCCAGACCUGCUUCCAGCCUAGUCCCUGUAGCUGUCAGUGAAUGGAGAAAUCCUUGUGGAGAUGAGGCUCACCGUCCUCAUCACCAUCAGCAAUAACUUCUGACUAAAUGCUAUCAAUAGGCAGAUGGUACACAAGCCCGGGGGUGGCUGCACCCAUCUGACCACCAUUCCACCUCGAGCACAGCCCUCACAGCUGUGAUCUGUAGAUCCUAGGAGAUCUAGGAAGCAACUCCUGUGGAGAGGGGGCCAGCCAUCUCUACCAACCACCACACACAGGGCAGACAAGCCAGCCCACCUGAAGCAGGAGGGUACCCCGAGGGAGAGACAGGAGACCGUAUAUGCCAGACAAGUCAGACGACCAGCACGUUCUUGACCAUCAGCUCCUUUCAUACCCUGAUGGAGACAAACUAGGACCCUGAGCCCAAGAGCCUUGGGAAGAGUGUUGCUUCCAGCCCAGCGCCCUCAGCCAUCAUUCAUGGAAGUAACCCCUGCGGUGAUGCAGCCUGACUGCUCCUGGAGAGGCCACAUCCACAGCUACCCAAGACUCAAAAAGAAAUUUCUGGCCACCCAAGUCCUUGGCAUUGUCAAAUGGUUCAACAUCAGAAACUUAGUGUGAUUUUAUCAGUAGAAAUAAUAUUAAAGAAGAAGCAUUAUAGAACUUUUUCAUCUGACUUGCAGCUGAAAACCUUAUAUAUAUAUGUCUCCCCAUUAAAAUAUGAACAACCUGGAGAUCAGGGACUGUCUUACUUUUCUAUUUGUGUCUCUAGAACUCAGCACUUUGUUUUGUACAUAGUAAGCACUUAAUAAAUGCUUCAUUCAUUUUGUGAGCUAAACA
ensembl:lncRNA